ACGGCAGACGCCUCGGCCCCCACGACGAUCAAGGCCGCGGUGUACUUCGACACCUCCUACGAGCCGCC
rnacentral:rRNA from 1 species